GACGAACGCUGGCGGCGUGCUUAACACAUGCAAGUCGAACGGAAAGGCCCUGCUUUUGUGGGGUGCUCGAGUGGCGAACGGGUGAGUAACACGUGAGUAACCUGCCCUUGACUUUGGGAUAACUUCAGGAAACUGGGGCUAAUACCGGAUAGGAGCUCCUGCUGCAUGGUGGGGGUUGGAAAGUUUCGGCGGUUGGGGAUGGACUCGCGGCUUAUCAGCUUGUUGGUGGGGUAGUGGUUUACCAAGGCUUUGACGGGUAGCCGGCCUGAGAGGGUGACCGGCCACAUUGGGACUGAGAUACGGCCCAGACUCCUACGGGAGGCAGCAGUGGGGAAUAUUGAACAAUGGGCGGAAGCCUGAUGCAGCAACGCCGCGUGCGGGAUGACGGCCUUCGGGUUGUAAACCGCUUUCGCCUGUGACGAAGCGUGAGUGACGGUAAUGGGUAAAGAAGCACCGGCUAACUACGUG
rnacentral:rRNA from 1 species